UACGGAGGGUGCAAGCGUUGCUCGGAUUUAUUGGGCGUAAAGGGUAGGUAGGUGGUCUUAUUUGUCUAGGGUGAAAUCCUUGAGCUUAACUCAAGAAGUGCCCUAGAAACGGUAAGACUAGAGUCCUGGAGAGGGUCGUGGAAUUCCCGGUGUAGCGGUGAAAUGCGUAGAUAUCUGGAGGAAUACCGGUGGCGAAGGCGGCAUCCUGGACCGGCAUUGACGCUGAGGAGCGAAAGCUAGGGGAGCAAACGGG
rnacentral:rRNA from 1 species